rnacentral:tRNA from 1 species
GCGCCUGUAGCUCAAUUGGAUAGAGCGUCGGCCUCCGAAGCCGUAGGUUACACGUUCAAGUCGUGUCAGGCGCACCA